rnacentral:rRNA from 1 species
GUGUCAGCAGCCGCGGUAAUACGGAGGAUCCGAGCGUUAUCCGGAUUUAUUGGGUUUAAAGGGUGCGUAGGUGGUUUGAUAAGUCAGCGGUGAAAGUUUGCAGCUUAACUGUAAAAAUGCCGUUGAAACUGUCGGACUUGAGUGUAAAUGAGGUAGGCGGAAUGCGUGGUGUAGCGGUGAAAUGCAUAGAUAUCACGCAGAACUCCGAUUGCGAAGGCAGCUUACUAAGCUACAACUGACACUGAAGCACGAAAGCGUGGGGAUCAAACAGGAUUAGAUACCCUGGUAGUCCACGCAGUAAACGAUGAUUACUAGCUGUUUGCGAUACACAGUAAGCGGCACAGCGAAAGCGUUAAGUAAUCCACCUGGGGAGUACGCCGGCAACGGUGAAACUCAAAGGAAUUGACGGGGGCCCGCACAAGCGGAGGAACAUGUGGUUUAAUUCGAUGAUACGCGAGGAACCUUACCCGGGUUUGAACGUAGGGAGACAGGAGUGGAAACAUUCUUUUCAGCAAUGACUGCCUACGAGGUGCUGCAUGGUUGUCGUCAGCUCGUGUCGUGAGAUGUUGGGUUAAGUCCCGCAACGAGCGCAACCCUUGCCUUUAGUUGCCAUCAUUAAGUUGGGCACUCUAGAGGGACUGCCGGUGACAAACCGGAGGAAGGUGGGGAUGACGUCAAAUCAUCAUGCCCCUUAUGUCCUGGGCUACACACGUGCUACAAUGGUCUGUACAGAGGGAAGCGAAGCAGCGAUGUGAAGCGAAUCCCAGAAAACAGAUCUCAGUUCGGAUCGGAGUCUGCAACUCGACUCCGUGAAGCUGGAUUCGCUAGUAAUCGCGCAUCAGCCAUGGCGCGGUGAAUACGUUCCCGGGCCUUGUACACACCGCCCGUCAAGCCAUGGGAGCCGGGGGUACCUGAAGUUCGUAACCGCAAGGAUCGACCUAGGGUAAAACUGGUGACUGGGGCUAAGUCGUAACAAGGUAACC